GGAAGCUUGGUCCAAAAGCAUGUUCCAGCAAAGAUUGGGCUGAAAUUAAUCACAAAAGAAAGCUGCAGGAACCAGUCAACAUAAAUGAAAGGAGCCUGUUCUCAUAAUCCACAAAGGGGACAGAGUACAGAAGAUCCAUUCCUACCUCCUGCUCCAGCCUUCCUGCUCCCUCCAGACAGUGCAUCCCAUGGAGACCCUGGAGCAAAUUUCUGCAUUCAGGAGACUGCUGGUUGCUUGUGUAUAGCCCCAUCAUCACCAAGCAAAGACAGUCACUGCUAACACCAUCUUCCUGAACUGAUGUUUUUGGAGGGCUUUAAUACUAAAAAUUGAUCAUAUUGGAAAGAAGUGUAUGAAAUAAAAUAUUGCCUAUAUGUGAUAAAUAAUAAAUAAAGAGAAC
ensembl:lncRNA